UCACACUGUGCGAAAGCGCGAUGAGGGGAUCCCAAGUGCUUGCUAUUAGGAGUAAGCUUUUUUCCUGUUAAAUCGCAGGAAGAAAAAGGGGUGGGUAAGACGGGUCCCCGCCGCCGCGGUAAUACCCGCAGCUCAAGUGGUGACCGCUUUUAUUGGGCCUAAAACGUCCGUAGCCGGCUGAGUAAAUGCCUGGGUAAAUCGUGUCGCUUAACGAUACGAAUUCCGGGUAGACUGCUUAGCUUGAGACUGGGAGAAGCUAGAGGUACUCCUGGGGUAGAGGUGAAAUUCUGUAAUCCUGGGGGGACCACCAGUGGCGAAAGCGUCUAGCUAGAACGGGUCUGACGGUGAGGGACGAAACCCAGGGGCGCGAACCGGAUUAGAUACCCGGG
rnacentral:rRNA from 1 species